UACGGAGGGAGCUAGCGUUGUUCGGAAUUACUGGGCGUAAAGCGUGCGUAGGCGGCUAUUCAAGUCAGAGGUGAAAGCCUGGAGCUCAACUCCAGAACUGCCUUUGAAACUAGAUAGCUAGAAUCUUGGAGAGGUGAGUGGAAUUCCGAGUGUAGAGGUGAAAUUCGUAGAUAUUCGGAAGAACACCAGUGGCGAAGGCGACUCACUGGACAAGUAUUGACGCUGAGGUACGAAAGCGUGGGGAGCAAACAGGAUUAGAUACCCUGGUAGUCCACGCCGUAAACGAUGAUAACUAGCUGUCCGGGCUCUCAGAGCUUGGGUGGCGCAGCUAACGCAUUAAGUUAUCCGCCUGGGGAGUACGGUCGCAAGAUUAAA
rnacentral:rRNA from 1 species